UCUUAUUUAUUACAUGCUGUGGCCAUUUGUCGGAUGUGCUGGUAGAGGAAACCCCGCGCGUUAUGCUUUAACGUAGCUAUUAUCUCAACCUGGUCGUGGCCUGCAUUUUGAUUCCGUUAGAGACGCGUGUAUCUGUAACUAACUUCGGUCUCCUCCGUAUAAAAAUUUCAACGCAGGGAUUCAACCUCCCGUGGAGAUGAUCGGUUCAAAAUUCGAUGCUUAAUUCUUACCGACCUCGAGAGAGCAAGUUCCAUCUCAUAUACAUUAAACUCUACCGAUGAAUUUGCUUCUUUUUUUUUUUUUUUUUUUUACUUUUGCUUUUUUGCAUUCUUUCUAUCCUCCAAUUUUUCAACGAAUAUAUUUACGCGUAAACGUCUUGUUAGAAAAUUUGGAUACCGAAGCCGAGAAAUUAAUUUGCAACUAUUUGAGAAAAAUGAUGAGAAAUUUUUCACAAUUUUAUAAUCAAAACCAACUAGUCGGUCGACAUGAAUGAAUUAGUAAAAGCGUGAACCGUUUUAUGGCGUAGAAGUCUAACGAGUUUACCCAACGAUUAUACAACCUAGAACAUAGGUGUAUCCGAAAAUAAUUAUACCCAUAUAGUAAAGAUUUUGAUGUACGAAUAGAUUUUGUUUUUUCUUUCGACAUAUAAUCAUAUCCCUUUUUCAUCUACUGCAGCCACUCGUAACACGUGUAAGAAAUAUAUUUCAAUUCGAAAAAAUCGAAUCAAUCACAUGGAUGUGGAAAAUGAUAACUUUUGUAGAGUAUUAUUACGGUGGAAACAGGUGGAUUUCUUUGACACGUAGAAUGGGGGUAUACUUUGUUCGUUCGAAAAAUGUAAAUAAAAAGUGAAGCGGUACAGAAAGGAGGAUGUAAAGGAAGGAGGCAAAAAAAGAAAGAAAAAAAAGAAAAAAAAAAACCGGGGGGAAGGAGGGGAGUAGGGUCAGAGCUGAUGAACCGGCCACGUGAAUUACUAAUUAGACUCGGUGGCAAUUAGUAAUUACGGUAGCCCUCCGCUCCUCGAGCUCGCCGCUCGGAGCAGCAGGAGCUGCAGCAGCUCACGGCACCAAUCAGCCCUACGGGGAGGCGGACGGAGAUGAGAGAAGAGAAAAAAAUAUAUAUAUAAGAGAGGAGGAGAGAGGCGCCCCGAGACCGGUGUUAUCAUAAGUCGGGUUUUUCAUUGACGGUGGCAGCGUCCAGGGGGAACCGGUCUUAAAACACGGGUAGAACUCUCGCGGAGCUAAAGGAGGAACAUCAGCGUCCAGCGACAGCUACCAGCUACGGAAUAAGCUACCGGGGAAGCGCAUAAAUUGCGAACGCGUCGAUGUCGGAAUAAAAGGGUGAUGAAAAAAUAAAUAAAUAAAUGAAUAAAACGGAUUAGACAAACGAUGCGUGCAGAAAAAUAGAGGAGCGAAGAAGAAAAAAAAAAUAGAAAUUGUAAUAGUUGUUACACGGAGAGGAUUGCAGCAACCUUGCGCGCGUUAAAGCUGCCUUGGGGCGAGAAUGAUCAAGUAGUAGUGGCAUAGCUAUGGCCAGCCAAGCGGAAUAUGCGGCGCGCGAUGCAGAAAUACAAGUUGAAGAUUUUUCCAAGGAAUCGCAGAAGAUAAUACAUAGUUAUGAAUUGGCCAUAUUCCAUCAUCAUCCUCCGGGUAUAUGUGAGAUCGGGGAUGUUAUCGGGGUAUUAUCUAGCCACUUUAUGGGUAUGUACGUACGUACGUACGUAUAUCCGUAUGUAUCGUAGUUACAUAUGUAUACUUAUACGAUAUGGUCGGUAACAUGGUGUAAAAUGAGCACCGAGAAUGAUGGACGCUAUCAAACUAUCCUGAUGUCUAACUAUACUAUACAUAAUUUGUACCAUACGUGUCGCCCCUGGCUCUGCAGUUAUACGAUCAUCAACAGUCCGGAUAACGAUAAAUGUACCGAUCGAAGGCGCAUAAAACCCCACAUCCCUGCAUAUCCAGCACCCCGUUCAGAUGAUCUUCAAUGAAAUUCCGCAACCAGGAUGUCGAAGGAACAAAGCUCGAAGGAUUAUCGAAAUAUUGUAUUUUAUAUUUUCACCGCCACAAAAAAUCCAAAAUUUACCGACUUCUUACUUUACGAAAUUCCGGUGUGGGCUUCUUACGACGGAGAAAAUUCACGUCAGUUUCCAAAAUCCAAAAGCACGAGUCUUCGUUACAGAGUAACGAGCAGGUGAUUUUUGAAAUCAAAUUUUAAUCGAGGUGAUUAGAGUCCUCAUCGAAUUGUGAUUCAAAAGAAAUAAGAAGAAGCGUUUUUUUAUGAAUCCUGCAUGUGGGGGUUGAAGAAUCGAAAAACGAAAUAAACUUCAAUUCGAAACGAAAGCUGUUCAUCAUUAUUCUGCUCUCAAAAUUGUAAAGUUGACGCUCAGUGUGACAGACUUUUUGUAUGAAUAAAAAAAAGCAAGAACUUCAGAUUCGUUAGACGCGACAAACCCACCACGAUACACGAAUGUUUAAGUUUCGGGAAAUAUCUUCUUCUUGAAAUCUCAAUCCACCUUUAGUUAAACUUAAAAAGAUAUUUUACGCCUACCUUAGAGGAGCGCAUUUUUCAAGAUCAACGAAAUUGGUGCCGGCUCUAAUACUUUCUUAAAGUCGGUCUAAUUUGCAUAUGUAAUUAUUUUUCUAUCACCUGCAGAGAAUGUACAUAAUAAGGUAUACACCUGUCGGUGGUACACAUAUACGAUAUAUAGAUUUUAUAAAUAAAUGUACACAAAUAUACAUAUAUAUAGCAAUAUGAACACCACGCGGGGUACAAGACGUCCACUUCUUAAUCAUAGUGACAUGGGAAAGUAUUUGCCCACGGUCACAAAAUCACCGUGGGACGUGAGCGAUCGAUUCAUUAACGCUCUGCAGUCGAUCGAGGUUCAUGCAGCCCAUACGUUGUAUACCCUACAUAACGUAACGUAAAAUAUAUAAAUGAAUAAUUCGUUUCACAUAUGCUACAUAGAUAAUAUUAAAGUAUACUUUACACCGGGUGAAUUACUCCUCAGAGUCCAAUGAAAAUGAAUUUUGUCACAUCGAUUUCUUCCCUUUUUUCAAUCGCAGUGAAUCAAAAUUAGCAAUUGAAAAUAUAACAUGCACAUUGAUAUAUUAAAUCUGAUAGUUCCGCACAGAAGACGUAUUACGGAACGAUGAGACGUACUUUAGUUCCUUUUUUUCAUUUUUGUUUUUUUCUUCCGUCGAAUUUUUACGUUAAUUAAAAAAUAUUAUCGAGUAUACACACCCAUGAGAGUUUUCUCGUUAGCUGCGGUUUGAGGCCUGACCAUAAAAAAAAAUUUACAUAUUUCAUUUAUAGAUAGUUUAUACGUACGGUAUCGAUCAAUCGGUAUAUCGGUUCACACAAGUUGGACGUAUGUAUAAAAAAAAAUUACAUCAUACCCAUUCAGGUGAAAAAUGUUAUCGUAAAGAAUCGAGAGAAUUCUUAAUUUAGUUGGUGAAGAUUUGAGGGAAAAAGAAGCGCGGGUUUAUUCAUCUCGUCAGUCAGCGAUGAAAUGCGUUUUUCCUAUUCUCUUUCAACCGGAAAUGAUCGUAUAUUUAUUUUUCUUUUCGUCAGACAUUAUAUAUACCCAUACGCAUCAACAUAUUAUACGUAUGUAUAUAACCGUAAUAAAAUACGUAUGGGUUUUUGAUUUAUUCAAACCCGCUCCAAUCGAUGCUUCGAUCUGGUCUUCGUGUUCUCCGGUUAUCACCUGUAAUUUCAAGUCUGUCGGAGAGUUGGGCGAGGCCGAGUGGUCAGCGACAGAUCGAUCUUAAUAAGGGCGUCGCGACGCUUGAGCUUCCAGUUCGAGAAUCGUAACGCCAACGCUUUUCAAUCUCGACUAGGAUAUUGAACCGAUCUCGUAUAUGCGUGUAAACGGGACGCGUCGCGUCGCUUCAAUGAUAUAUAACGUGAAUCUGUACGUCCGCUGCGUGUACCAAAUGUUGAAGGGAUAAACGUGGGGCAGGAUGACGAUAAUUUUCCCCGAGAAACAGGCAUCUAGUCGGUUGAAGUUACCAGGGACGAUGUGUUUUUCGUAGGCGAACGAUCACGAGGCGCGGCAACGGAACUCGAUUCGAAGCGAUGCUGCCUGCCGCCGCUGCUUUCGCCUUUUGCCUUUUGCCUUUUGACUUUUCCCUUUUGCUUUUGCUUUUGCUGGAGGGACGACGAGCACACGUCAGGGACAAGGAGGUCCUGUGUUGUCAAACAGGUUUCGGAGUACUUUCCUGCAUACAUAAAUAAAUAAUAACCAACGUGAGUCCCGACCGAUGGAGAUGUGAAGAUAUCGGCUUAUCUUAAUGUCAAUGCUCCUAAGCCUGCUCUGGUUACAUUCAUUAGGGUCAUUAACAUCCGAUAGGCGUGGGAGCGGGUUCCAGACCCUAAACUCAUUUUUC